UACGGAGGGAGCUAGCGUUGUUCGGAAUUACUGGGCGUAAAGCGCACGUAGGCGGCGAUUCAAGUCAGAGGUGAAAGCCCGGGGCUCAACUCCGGAACUGCCUUUGAAACUAGAUUGCUAGAAUCUUGGAGAGGCGAGUGGAAUUCCGAGUGUAGAGGUGAAAUUCGUAGAUAUUCGGAAGAACACCAGUGGCGAAGGCGACUCGCUGGACAAGUAUUGACGCUGAGGUGCGAAAGCGUGGGGGAGCAAACAGG
rnacentral:rRNA from 1 species